rnacentral:lncRNA from 1 species
UGAAAACGUUCGUUUCUUAUGUUUUGAUAGUGGGCACUUGCAUGAAUUGGUCAAUUGUGACCAUGUUGAGUCAAAUGACGAACUUAGUGAUGAAUAACUGAACAAAAUUGAUAUGUGAAAUAUGUGGAAGUGAUCAGACUGCAUAUAUAGUUGCUGUAGAACUGAAUAGCAGCAACAGAUCACAGUUUCUGUCUAUAGGUGGGAUAGUAGCUCUCCAGAUUUUUUUUUCCAGUAGGUUCCAAGUACAUUCCCUUCAGAUGAGGAUGCACCAUUUGUCCAGUUGUUGCCAUUCCUUACUCGAGUAAUAUGAUAGCAGCUUCUCACCGAGAAUAAACCUUUAGGAUCAUAGUGUCAUACUAACCGGUCGUCCGGAUCCCUGAAACUGAUUGGAAUCUUCAAAAUCAUCCCAGCUUCCUCCCUAGAAAAGAGUUCUUUCAACAUCAGCUGAUUCCAUUCAUGUUCCUCGCCAUCCAGUAAAUAAUCACUUACCAUCAAAUCUUCAGUCCCCUCCGUAACAGUGGUGUACUGUACGUACGAGGCAUUGGUAACCAUGGGUCUUGCCAAGACCCUAACCUUGUCUCCUC